rnacentral:rRNA from 1 species
UACGGGGGGAGCAAGCGUUGUUCGGAUUUACUGGGCGUAAAGGGCGCGUAGGCGGCGUGACAAGUCACUUGUGAAAUCUCCGGGCUUAACUCGGAACGGUCAAGUGAUACUGUCGGACUAGAGUACAGAAGGGGCAACUGGAAUUCUCGGGUGUAGCGGUGAAAUGCGUAGAUAUCGGGAGGAACACCAGUGGCGAAGGCGGUUGCCUGGAGCUUUGCUGACGCUGAUGCGCGAAAGCGUGGGGAGCGAGUCCGG